rnacentral:rRNA from 1 species
UACGUAGGUGGCGAGCGUUGUCCGGAUUUACUGGGCGUAAAGAGCGCGCAGGCGGUCGUACAAGUCGCGUGUGAAAGCCCCCGGCUCAACUGGGGAGGGUCACGCGAUACUGUUCGACUCGAAGGCAGGAGAGGGUAGUGGAAUUCCCGGUGUAGCGGUGGAAUGCGCAGAUAUCAGGAGGAACACCAAUAGCGAAGGCAGCUCGCUGGGACGGUACUGACGCUAAGGCGCGAAAGCGUGGGGAGCGAACAGG